rnacentral:lncRNA from 1 species
GUUUUGGAGUGCAGGCGUGAAUAGUCCUUUCUGUCCUGCUUUGAGUACUGCUGUUGGGUGCCUUGGGGGGACCUUAAGGGAGCUCGGAAGUUGAGACGUGGUGAGUGCGAGAUCACUGCCCACAAAGGGGAGGAGCAGGCGGAUGAACAGCCAGAGCUGCAAUGGUGGAUCCUCCUCCAGGGCUGCAUGGGACGACAGAUAGAUGAGGCUCUAGGACGGGCACAAAUGCUACCCGAAUGCAAACCACUCCGGAGAUCUGUAAAAGGACUGGCCCCGGACAGGAAGCACACUUUAAACUAGAGGCGGGGUAAGACUCGUGGGCCAAUCAAGGCUUCCGAACAGAACUGCCAUUCUGGCAAUGAGGCGGGGUCUUCCGGUUGCCUGCUGGAAGUUUGUUUUUGCUCUGCAGGAUUGAAGGGUUCUCCCUAUGCUGCUUUGAGCGCUGCUAUUGGGUGCCUUGAGGGGACCUCAAGUAAGCUCCAUUUUUGAAACAUGAGUCAAAGCCCCGGUGAAGAUUCUGUGACGGUUCAUUGUAUAAUUUAUGAUGAUGAAGAUUGAGUUGCAUUUUGCGGAAAAGAGAUGUUGAGAUAUCUAAGGCAUUGAGAAAUCUGUCAUGCAGACAUGCACACAGGGAGAGGGAGUACCCAAACUGAUGAGAACUUACAGGAAUUGGACCAUCUAAGCCCUUAGAAAGUGAAGUCCACUGUGUCUCAAACAAAGAUCUUCAUCCACAUCUUGAAGUUUGAAGUUUGGCCAAGAAUAUACAGAGUAGAUUCUCUUUCUCAGGAUGGCAAGUGUUCAUGACAUCAAUACUACCCAAGGCUUCAGAGUCAUUGGAUUGCAGGAUGCAGUGACUUAUGAUGAUGUGAGUGUGAACUUCACUGAGGAAGAGUGGGAUUUGCUGGAUCCUUCCCAGAAAAGUCUCUAUGAAGAGGUGAUGCUGGAGACCUACCAGAACAUCACUGCUAUAGGUAAGUGAAUUUCCUCUUGCUUUUCUGAAUAAGGG